rnacentral:misc_RNA from 1 species
UCUCCGUUGGUGAACCAGCGGAGGGAUCAUUACCGAAGUUACCUUCAACACCCACUGUGAACCUUACCUCUUGCCGCGUUGUCUCGGCGGAAGGCGGUGUGCCUCGCGCGCCCUAGCGGGCCGUGCCGCUCACGUCCCCGCCGGCAGCGCAAAACUCUAAAUUCGUAGCUGACAGUACGUUCUGAAUUACAAAAAAAAAACAAGUUAAAACUUUCAACAACGGAUCUCUUGGUUCUG